AACGAACGCUGGCGGCAUGCCUAACACAUGCAAGUCGAACGAGACCUUCGGGUCUAGUGGCGCACGGGUGCGUAACGCGUGGGAACCUGCCCUUAGGUUCGGAAUAACUCCCCGAAAGGGGUGCUAAUACCGGAUAAGGUCUUCGGACCAAAGAUUUAUCGCCGUUGGAUGGGCCCGCGUUGGAUUAGCUAGUUGGUAGGGUAAAAGCCUACCAAGGCGACGAUCCAUAGCUGGUCUGAGAGGAUGAUCAGCCACACUGGGACUGAGACACGGCCCAGACUCCUACGCGAGGCAGCAGUGGGGAAUAUUGGACAAUGGGCGCAAGCCUGAUCCAGCCAUGCCGCGUGAGUGAUGAAGGCCUUAGGGUUGUAAAGCUCUUUUACCCGGGAUGAUAAUGACAGUACCGGGAGAAUAAGCUCCGGCUAACUCCGUG
rnacentral:rRNA from 1 species